UGAGAUAGAACUUGGUUAGCUCUGCU
rnacentral:piRNA from 1 species